ACGGAGGCAGCAGUGGGGAAUAUUGCACAAUGGGGGAAACCCUGAUGCAGCGACGCCGCGUGAGUGAUUGAAGUAUUUCGGUAUGUAAAGCUCUAUCAGCAGGGAAGAAAAUGACGGUACCUGACUAAGAAGCCCCGGCUAACUACGUGCCAGCAGCCGCGGUAAUACGUAGGGGGCAAGCGUUAUCCGGAUUUACUGGGUGUAAAGGGAGCGUAGGUGGUAUGGUAAGUCAGAAGUGAAAACCCAGGGCUCAACUUUGGGAUUGCUUUUGAAACUAUCAAACUAGAGUGCAGGAGGGGUAAGCGGAAUUCCUAGUGUAGCGGUGAAAUGCGUAGAUAUUAGGAAGAACACCAGAGGCGAAGGCGGCUUACUGGACUGUAACUGACACUGAGGCUCGAAAGCGUGGGGAGCAAACAGGAUUAGAUACCCUGGUA
rnacentral:rRNA from 1 species